AGAAUCCUUUUUUUUCAGAAUAUUUAGAAAAUUAUCAUUUUUUAAACAUGGAACAUUGCAUCUAGAAAUACAACGUGCAUACAAUAUUUUUGUAAAGGGAUGCUCAUUGUUUCAUUUCAUGUGUUAACGAGUGAUUUGGAUUUCUUGUGCAGGAAAAGAAAGGAGUUGCCGCGAGCAGUUUCCAUAUAAUUGGCCACAGCCUUGGUGCACACACAGCAGGCUAUGCUGGGGAGAAAACACCAGGACUAGCCAGGAUCACAGGACUUGACCCGGCUGGACCGUACUUCGAUGGCACCCAAACUGCUGUGCGCCUUGACCCUACAGAUGCUACGUUUGUUGAUGCCAUCCACACAGAUGGGAAACUUCUUGGCCUGGGCAUACGUCAGCCAGUUGGUCACAUGGAUUUCUUUGCCAACAUGGGCCACGACCAGAAUGGAUGUCGCGCUCACACUGGGAUUGACCUCAUAAAUCUGGGAGUUGGAGAUAGUAA